rnacentral:tRNA from 1 species
GUCCCUAUAGCGCAAUGGAUAGCGCGUUGGACUUCUAAUCCAAAGGUCGUGGAAUGGAAUCCCACCUGGGAUU